AUAGUUAUGGUGACAUGGUGCCCGGUACCAUCGCUGGUAAAAUAGUUGGUGGUGUGUGCUCCUUGUCUGGUGUGCUCGUGAUCGCUCUGCCCGUACCAGUCAUCGUCUCCAAC
rfam:Danaus plexippus plexippus isolate F-2 unplaced genomic scaffold DPSCF300122, whole genome shotgun sequence.